rnacentral:rRNA from 1 species
GACGAACGCUGGCGGCGUGCUUAACACAUGCAAGUCGAACGGAAAGGCGCUGCUUUUGUGGGGUGCUCGAGUGGCGAAGGGGUGUGUAACACGUGAGUAACCUGCGCUUGACUUUGGGAUAACUUCAGGAGACUGGGGCUAAUACCGGAUAGGAGCUCCUGCUGCAUGGUGGGGGUUGGAAAGUUUCGGCGGUUGGGGAUGGAUUCGCGGCUUAUCAGCUUGUUGGUGGGGUAGUGGCUUACCAAGGCUUUGGCGGGUAGCCGGCCUGAGAGGGUGACCGGCCACAUUGGGACUGAGAUACGGCCCAGACUCCUACGGGAGGCAGCAGUGGGGAAUAUUGCACAAUGGGCGGAAGCCUGAUGCAGCAACGCCGCGUGCGGGAUGACGGCCUUCGGGUUGUAAACCGCUUUCGCCUGUGACGAAGCGUGAGUGACGGUAAUGGGUAAAGAAGCACCGGCUAACUACGUG